GGCGACGUUUCAAUUGAAUUUCUGCCCUAUCAACUUGUUGGUAAGGUAGUUGCUUACCAAGGUUGCGACGGGUAACGGGGGAUCAGGGUUCGAUUCCGGAGAGGGAGCCUGAGAAAUGGCUACCACAUCCAAGGACGGCAGCAGGCGCGCAAAUUACCCAAUCCAGACAAUGGGAGGUGGUGACGAGAAAUACUAGUCAGUGUCUCAAAAGGACGCUGAUCUGGAAUGGACGCAAUUUAAGCAAUUCGAUGAGUAACAACUGGAGGGCAAGUCUAGUGCCAGCAGCCGCGGUAAUUCUAGCUCCAGUGGUGUAUUUUAAUGUUGCUGCGUUUAAAACGCUCGUAGUUGGAUUACGCAGUGCGAGUCGGUCAAUUAGCAGAGCUUCACAUAAAAACUAAGGCGUUUGUUUUGUGAACAUGGAUUCCUUGAACGCUAAACAACGUCUUGGUGUGUUGCAUGUUGAUUAUUCGCCGGCCCGCACUACUUGUACGUAAGGAUGGCGGUUGACCUUUAGUGCGUUGACUGAUCGUGUCUUACGGAGUGUGCCUUGAAUAAAUCAGAGUGCUCAAAGCAGGCUUACGCUUGAAUGUUAAUAGCAUGGAACGAACAAUUGUGUAAAAGUGACUGUACUUACAAUUUGGUGGAUUUAUUUGUCAGGUUGUGGGUGCAGUUCACAUCACCAACCGCCAAUAACGGAUGUUGGUUUCCGUAUUGGGGUGAUGAUUAAAAGGAGCGAUUGGGGGCAUUGGUAUUUGGCCGCGAGAGGUGAAAUUCUUGGACCGGCCAAGGACUAACAAAUGCGAAGGCAAUUGCCAAGAUCGUUUCCAUUAAUCAAGAACGACAGUCCGAGGUUCGAAGUCGAUCAGAUACCGACUUAGUUCGGACCGUAAACUAUGCCGACCCGAGAUCAGUUUUGAGCUAAUUAAACGCUCGAGGUUGCUCUCCCUGGGAAACCUUAAGUUUUUAGGUUACGGGGGGAGUAUGGUUGCAAAGCUGAAACUUAAAGGAAUUGACGGAAGGGCACCACCAGGGGUGGAGCCUGCGGCUUAAUUUGACUCAACACGGGAAAACUCACCUGGUCCGGACAUCGAAAGGAUAGACAGACUGAUAGAUCUUUCUUGAUACGUUGGUUGGUGGUGCAUGGCCGUUCUUAGUUCGUGGAGUGAUCUGUCAGGUUGAUUCCGGUAACGGACGAGACCAUAUUCUCCAUUUAAGGAAUGCAAAAACUCAGUCAAUGUGUGUUGGUUCGCUAACAUGUGUUGACUGUAGCUGGUUGUCACUGAAUAUCCGGGUUGAAUUUGACAGUAUGAGUGAGAGUGUCAAAACUUGAUCAAAUAUUGUUGGAAACAAUUCGGGGAUGCUGUACGCCUUUGCAAUAAACGGUGGCAGGCAACUGUUCACUGUCUUAUGGAGAGAC
rnacentral:rRNA from 1 species